rnacentral:misc_RNA from 1 species
CUGGAACGCGCCCCUGGCGCACCCAGAAACCCUUUGUGAACUCAUACCUUACCGUUGCCUCGGCGCAGGCCGGCCCCCCCUGGGGGGCCCCUCGGAGACGAGGAGCAGGCCCGCCGGCGGCCAAGUUAACUCUUGUUUUUACACUGAAACUCUGAGAAACAAAACACAAAUGAAUCAAAACUUUCAACAACGGAUCUCUUGGUUCUGGCAUCGAUGAAGAACGCAGCGAAAUGCGAUAAGUAAUGUGAAUUGCAGAAUUCAGUGAAUCAUCGAAUCUUUGAACGCACAUUGCGCCCUCUGGUAUUCCGGAGGGCAUGCCUGUUCGAGCGUCAUUUCAACCCUCAAGCCUGGCUUGGUGAUGGGGCACUGCUCCCCCCCGGGGAGCAGGCCCUGAAAUCCAGUGGCGAGCUCGCCAGGACCCCGAGCGCAGUAGUUAAACCCUCGCUCCGGGAGGCCCUGGCGGUGCCCUGCCGUUAAACCCCCAACUUCUGAAAGU